rnacentral:tRNA from 1 species
GCGAGAGUGUUGGAAUAGGCAGACAAGCACGUUUCAGAGGCGUGUGUACUUCGUACGUACGGGUUCGACUCCCGUUUCUCGCACCA